AGCAUGUCAUCACCGAACAAGCUACCGUCGUGCGUGCUUCAUCUCCGAGCAUGGUACCACUGUGCGUGCUUCAUCACCGAGUAUGUUAUUGCCAUGCGCAUUCUCAAGACAUUCUCUCCUACUACCAAGCAUGUCAUUGUUGUGCACGUCACAUCAUUACCCCAGUAGGAGGUACACCUGUGCUGCAUCCCAUCAUCCCCAGUGGAGUUAGGUGUAUGCCAAGAAAAAAGGGGUCAUGCUUGCCUCUGCAAUCCC
rnacentral:lncRNA from 1 species